AAUGAACGUUGGCGGCGUGGAUUAGGCAUGCAAGUCGAGCGAGAACCCCGCAAGGGGGGACAGCGGCGAAAGGGACAGUAAUGUGUAGAUUAUCUGCCCUCAGGUCCGGGAUAGCUGCGGGAAACUGCAGGUAAUACCGGAUAACAUCUCCGGAUCAAAGGUGUGAUUCCGCCUGAGGAUGAGUCUGCAUCCUAUUAGCUAGUUGGUGGGGCAAUGGCCUACCAAGGCAUUGAUGGGUAGCAGGUGUGAGAGCACGACCUGCGUCAUUGGGACUGAGACACUGCCCAGACACCUACGGGUGGCUGCAGUCGAGAAUCUUCGGCAAUGGGCGCAAGCCUGACCGAGCGACGCCGCGUGUGGGAUGAAGGCCUUCGGGUUGUAAACCACUGUCAGAGGGGAUGAAAUGCAGGUGGGUUCUCCCAUCUGUUUGACAUAGCCUCAGAGGAAGAACGGGCUAAGUUCGUG
rnacentral:rRNA from 1 species